CCGGGACUGAGUGCAGCUGGGUCCGGAGGGGUUGAUGAUGGCUCGAUGCUGUCAGGAGUACUUGAACCGAGCUGCAAGGAGGGAAGCAACAAAAGGCUGAAAGGAAACACAAUAUAAAUUCAAAGUUGGUAAACAUCUGGAGGGAUCAAACAAAGGCAUAGGAAGGAAAACUUAGCUUUGUCGAGAUGGGUAUAGGUGCAGCUCCAGAGAGAAGACAGCGGCCCCCCCUUGUCCGUUCUGUGCGUUCUCUUCUGUUUUUCCCCGAGAGAGAGGUAGUGAGAGUGAGAGAAAAUUCGUGGGCUUUUCAGAGAGUGUCAAGAGCUGAGGGAGUGAGUGAGGAAUGUCAGCUGGGGGAAAGGGAACCCGACAGCUGCAGGAGGAACCGGAGUUGAGAGGAAAUUGAGAAGAAGAAGAAUGUCCGGGAGCUAUGGGUUCGGUCUGUGGGAGUUGCUGAGGGGAAACCGGAGCUGAGGGAGAGGUCGUGAGCUGGCGGAGAGUCGAAGGAGCCAGUGAGCUGAGGGGAAAGUAGCUGAGAGUUUUCGAGGAUUGAGCUGAAGGUUUCAUUGCCGAGGAGAAGCAUGGAAAAGGAAGGAAUGGGAAGGAGAGGGAAGGGUGUCUUGUACUCAACCCUGUGACCAGAGUUGGCGUGAAGCAGAACGAACAGAGCUGUGAUCAGUGGUUCCUGGGGAUAACUUGAACAUCCGAAAUUUUUCUGAACUUCUCAUGAGCCUUUUGGUCUCUCUGAUAUUUUUCCUAGAUUCCUACACGAGUUAGGCACAUCCUCGUAAAAUUUGAAGCUCGUUUGACCUCGGGAAGUCCUCAAAGCAAUUUUUCUUCAA